CUUUCUACACAGGUUGGGAUCAGUUGCAAUGCUGUGUUUCUCUAUGGUAUUGCACUUGUCCCGGCCUGUUGAGUUUGG
rfam:Myotis lucifugus cont2.19889, whole genome shotgun sequence.